GCAUCCUCCAGCUGUGCGAUGUGAUCCACCAGCAAGUGAGGACACCAAUGGAAGGUGUCCGAUAAGAUAAGUCUUAUAAGAUAUAUAGAUUUAUGAUGAUUAAGACUGAGCUAACAGAUGAGAAAUCCUAGUCAUUGGCCAAGCAGCAUUUGAACCUAAUAUAAGUCUCUGUAUUAUUUUGUCCAUCCACACGGCGGGUGGCGGGCAGAACUCGGGUGGCUGGCGGAGACCGCCCACAUGGCGGUAGGGCUCUGGCAGCUUCUGGCGGAAAGGUUUAUCAUAACACUUGGUGACCUCAUUUUCCUGGAUCUAAGAACAGGAAUGUGUAGAACAGCUGUGCUAGGUGUUUGAGAAGGGUGGAUCCAAUCUAUUCCCUGUAGCCUGAGAGGGUCAGUCAAUGAUGCUGACUUGUUGAAUAGCUGCUGGGCUUCUCUAGCUCACGAAAUGGAACCCCCAACCAACAAACCCCUAAAGUUCACAUCAUGAAACUUUCACAUUAAAAGACCCCUUUCUUGGCACUGGUUGAAGCUGCCCAUCUUGCCAAGAGGAACAGAGGCCUAGAGAGUGGAGGGGCAUGUUCAAAGCUCAAUCAAUGUUGACACCCGACUCACCACCACUCUUUUGGAGUCUCUGUUUAAAUGUCCUGGCUCAUGUUUCACCACCUACCCUCCAGUGUUUCUUCCCGGGUGUUUCCACAUGGAGUCAUCUCUGGGCUACUCCAGAGGACAGGGCAGUGAGUCAGUCAAGAUCCCUAUAGGCACAUGCUGGUGCUUGGCCAAUGGUCACGGGUUCUAGAUACUUCGUUCCCCAAAGAAGGGCACUCUGGAUGUACAUGUGUUCUUGAAGAAACGUGAGGCCAUUAGAGAGUCUCUCAGAACAAGGACAAGUCUGUCAGCUUCCUGGCUGUUUGUAAGUAGCUUUCUCAGCCCCAGGGUUCUCUAUAGUCAGAGACCUUCCCAUCUGCACCCAGGAUCUCUGCCCCAAACCCAGACAUCCAGAGUAAGAUGUCCUGACCCUGAGGACUCAGGCAUCCUAGAAAGACUCCAUCUUGCCAAUGUUCCUGUUUCUGUUCUGCAUCACCGGGUAAGGUACAGUCCAUUACUGUGCCUCAGAUACAGAGCUCAUGCAAGGAGGCUAGUCAGCGAUGAGGUAGGUCUGACAGUUCCCAGGAGAGCUGUCCUCAUGGUGCCAAUGGAGUUGGUCUCACCAAGGAGGCCAAGAGAGUCAUGAUAAACAUGCUAGAGACCUGGUCAUCCCCUAGAACACCAUAAUGGCUGGUACCCCUCUACAAUGACACCUCCGGUCCCCAGAAUCUGGGGUAACUUUGGGAGUAUUUAUGAGAACCUGAAGGUUGGCAGGGAGGUGGGAGACAACACACCACUAUCUCAUUGGAGGCCAGGACAGAGCAUAAGGACAGAAAAAUUCUCCAGUGACUGGAGGAGUUGCCCUAGCCCUUGGGGUAGCUAGAUUGAGCAAAAACCAAAUAAAACCCAGAACACCAGGCAAAAUCCAAAGUUCAGAUAACAACAUAUACAUUUUAGUGUUUGUUGUUAUGUGAUACUAUGGGUUACUUGUUUUUAAAAAUGUUAUUUAUCUGAAAUUCAAAUUUAACUGGGCACCGAGUACUUAUCCGGUACUCUUCCACCCUCCCCACCCUUAAACAGGAAAGUGACAUUUUUAAAUAUCAUUCUAAAAAAUCCCAUGCAUUUAGUGUCAAAAAUGUGGAGAAGUAUGCAAAAUAAAAUAAAACUCAGUGAUAAUUUUGCCUCCCCCCCCGAAUUAACAAGUGUUAACCUAUUCUGAUCCUUGCUAGUCAGUAUAUUCACUCAUCCUUUCUUUCUCUCUCUCUCUCUCUCUCUCUCUCUCUCUCUCUCUCUCUCUGUGUGUGUGUGUCUGUGUGUAUAUGUUUUAAUAAGUAUCAUGUGCUCAUAAAACUUAUGCUGUAGUAUAAUAUGGGCUUCAUAUUAUAUUAUCAUCUGUAACAUCAUAUAUUUAAAUAUAUUUAAGAGAAUAUGUUCUAGUGCUGAAUCGAUAAUUCAUCGCUUAAAGAGAACUCACUACUCUUGCAGAGGACCUGGGUUCCUCUGCACCAACAUGACAGUUCACAACAGGCCCUAACUCCAGUUCCACGGUAUCUGUCACCCUCUUCUGACUUCCAUGGAUAUGAAGCAUUCACGUGGUACAUUUAGAUAUGUGUAGGCGAAACACUUGUACACAUACAUAUUUUUAAAAAAUACUUUCUGUAUAUAUAAGAAAAUGCAUACUAUCAAAUGUCUAUAAUUCUAUCUUUUAUUUUACAUGUAAUUCUUAAUGUUUUAUAUGUUGUUUUGUUCUUAAGGACUUCCUAUGUUUCUGAGAUAGGGUCUCACUAUAUAACCCAUGGGGGACUCAUUCUUGAACUUGCAAUGUAGACCAGGCUGGCUUCAAACUCACAUAGGUCCACCAGUCUCUGCCUCCCAAGUCCUGGGAUUAAAGAUGUGUAGCCACUAUGCCCAGCCUUAAAGCCUUUCUCAUUAUACUGUUCAUGGGAUGCCAACAUUCACUCAUCUUUUAUGCACACAUAUAGAGGCAUGAGAGGACCUGUUCUUCCCUGACACUUAGCCAUUGGAUAUUUGAUGUGACAGAUACCCAGCACCACUUCCCAUCCACCCAGGGGUCCAUGAAAGGCUGUGGUUUAAGCAAAUGAGGCAAACACUGAUCUUUUUCAGGACUGGGAGCCCCUGCGCCCAAACAUAAUGCCUACUUCUCCAUCACAGGCUCCAGCUGUAGGAAACACAGCUGCCUGGACUUGCAACAAGGAGCCAAUUAAAGCCCUUCCCUUUAAAUUUCAUGAACAUUCAGCACAUUUGGACCCAAGCCCCACUUGGCAGGGGUUGGGGGUUGGAUCCUCUGGACACAGAGAUGAACAGCACAGAGAAAUCAUAGACAGAUUACAUUAGAUUUCCAUGCAGUGGCGGUAGCUUAGAUAAUAGUAGGUAAACAGAGGAGUAAGUGAGAAACAUGACAGCUUUAUGAAGGAGACCAGAAACAAUGUCAACAUUACCACCAUCAUACUGCACAGUGAAAUUCUAGCCUCAAAACGAUGAGGUUUCAAAUAGUAGUGCUGUAGUCAUGGGACUUUUUGGAUGACUUUUGUAUCUGAAUGACAGGUUCUUUACCUAACCAGCACCAGAUGCUCCAUGCCCUCUUGAAAAUAACCAACUAGUCUGCACAUUUUUCAAGGCACCUCCCCGCAAAGAAGUCCUUACCAGUCCAUGCUGAUUCAGUUCUAAAACGGUGAUUUCAAUUUAUGCAUUUGAACACUUGGUCCCCAGCUGGUGGCGCUGUUUGGGAAGGCUGUGACACCUUUACAGUGAGUCUUAAUCUUCCUGACCCUGUAACCCUUUAAUACAGUUCCUCUUGUCAUGUGACCCCCCAUUAUAAAAUUAUUUCAUUGCUACCAUAACUGUCAUUUUGCUACUGUUAUGAAUCAUAAUGUAAAUAUCUGUGUUUUCUGAUGGUCUUAGGUAGUCUUUGUGAAAGGGUCAUUUGACCCAAUAGGGUUGGGACCCACAGAUUGAGAAUCAUUACUGCCUUUAAGAGAUGAGGCCUUGCUGGAGGAAGAGAGUCACUGGGGACAGUCCUUGACAGUCUUAAAGCCUAGCCCCAUGUCCCAUCUGGUUUCUGCUUCCUGACUACAGACUAGCUAGGUCUCCACUCCUGACUACAGACUAGCUAGCUCUCCACUUCUGUCCUCCUGUUCCUUCCCCCAUUACAAUGGACUAUAUUUCUGGGAUUGUAAAGAUUCCUUUAAAUUGCCUCUUGAAACAUGUUUGGUCACAACAAUGAACUCCAAUUCCAAUUCAUCUCCACAGCACAGAAAUAAAAAAAAAAAAGAAAGAAAAGAAAAAGAAAAACACCCUAGACUGGGCCCUCAAUAUCUUAUCACUCUCUGGCCUUUGACACUCCCCCUUCCCCAUGAUGCUUGUAGGGCUCC
ensembl:lncRNA